rnacentral:rRNA from 1 species
UACGGGAGGCAGCAGUGAGGAAUAUUGCACAAUGGGCGCAAGCCUGAUGCAGCCAUGCCGCGUGUAUGAAGAAGGCCUUCGGGUUGUAAAGUACUUUCAGUCGUGAGGAAGGUGUUAAGGUUAAUAACCUUAGCAAUUGACGUUAGCGACAGAAGAAGCACCGGCUAACUCCGUGCCAGCAGCCGCGGUAAUACGGAGGGUGCGAGCGUUAAUCGGAAUUACUGGGCGUAAAGGGCACGCAGGCGGUUAAUUAAGUUGGAUGUGAAAUCCCCGGGCUUAACCUGGGAAUGGCAUUCAAGACUGGUUAGCUAGAGUCUUGUAGAGGGGGUUAGAAUUCCAUGUGUAGCGGUGAAAUGCGUAGAGAUGUGGAGGAAUACCGGUGGCGAAGGCGGCCCCUGGACAAAGACUGACGCUCAUGUGCGAAAGCGUGGGGAGCAAACAGGGAUUAGAUACC